rnacentral:rRNA from 1 species
GACGAACGCUGGCGGCGUGCUUAACACAUGCAAGUCGAACGAUGAACCGGAGCUUGCUCUGGGGAUUAGUGGCGAACGGGUGAGUAACACGUGGGCAACCUGCCCCAGACACCGGGAUAACCAUUCGAAAGGAUGGCUAAUACCGGAUACGACCACUUCGGGCAUCCGAUGGUGGUGGAAAGGAUUCUGGUCUGGGAUGGGCCCGCGGCCUAUCAGCUUGUUGGUGGGGUAAUGGCCUACCAAGGCGACGACGGGUAGCCGGCCUGAGAGGGCGACCGGCCACACUGGGACUGAGACACGGCCCAGACUCCUACGGGAGGCAGCAGUGGGGAAUACUGCGCAAUGGGCGAAAGCCUGACGCAGCGACGCCGCGUGAGGGACGAAGGUCUUCGGAUUGUAAACCUCUUUCAGCAGGGAUGAAGCGAAAGUGACAGUACCUGCAGAAGAAGCACCGGCUAACUACGUGCCAGCAGCCGCAGUAAUAC